ensembl:lncRNA
CUUAAAUGUAUUUUAACAAUUUCUCAGCAAAAAAAAAAAAAAAAGAAAUUGCAAGUAAAUUUCACAAAUAAUUACAAAGAAAAUAUCUAAGUAGAAUAAAAUAAAAAUAAUUACAAUAAUUACAAUUUCGUACUCCAACAAUCUUUGUUUUACUUACAAAUUUGAAAAAAUAUUUUUACAGUGUAGCAUUAAGAAGGUUUAAUAAAUGCUUUAAAUAUAUAUAUUGCUCAUAGUUCAUGCUAGCUUAUGAAUGAGACCUGACUGUAAAGUGUUUCCAGAAAAUACGUCAGUUUUUUAAUUCUUUUCUAGUUUAAUAUGAGCAAUUCUGACUUUGUACGAAUGAGUUUUGCUAAUUUUGUUGUGUAGUUUCACCUGGAAAUAGUACAGAAUCUGAAAUAUCUUCCUUUUACAUAUAAAUCCUAAAUCUUUCCAGGUUUAAUUGAAAAAAAAUAGUGAUCUCAGACUUUUAGACCUCACAGUAUAUAUUUAUUUUCCAAUUAAAGAUACAAUAAUAAGAUGAAAUGAACAGGGGUUAUGAAAGCUGCUUUUAAAACGAUCUGAGUUUAGAUACGGAUCAGACGAGUGAAUCUCAGACCUCAGUUUAAACCUGUUUGAUUCACUUCUUCAUUCUUGUGUUGAACUACCUCCGUUUGCUGCUUAGCGUCGUGUAGCGUACGAGGACCAACGUUUUAUGUAUGCCAGACGCGAUCAAGUUGUCGAGCCAUUAUUUUGAGUUUGUUACUCGUUGAGUUAUUCGUGAUGUUGCGUGCGGUUUGCGUUUUGAUUCUUACGUGGAGGAUUCAGUUCUGAUUCGUUUUGGUUGCUCUUAUAAUUUGACUCUUGCUUCUUAAAGGAAAAGUUCACUCAAAAAUGAACGUUUGCUGAAGAUGUGCUCACCCUCAGGCCAUCUGAGAUGUAGACGAGUCUGUUUCUUCCUCAGAUUUGGAGAAAUGUAGCAUUGCAUCAGUGUCUCACCAAUGGAAGUGAAUGGGUGCCGUCAGAAUGAGAGUCCAAACAGCUGAUAAAAACAUCACAAUAAUCCACAAGUAAUCCACAGCACUCCAGUCCAUCAGUUAAUGUCUCAAGAAGAGAAAAGCUGAAACAAAUCCAGCAUUAAGACAUUUUUAACUAAAAUAAUCCCUAAUUACGCUUCCUCCAGUGAAAAAGUGUUCUGAAUCUGGAUUUGUUUCAGCUUUUGUCUCCUCCAGAUGUUAACUGAUGGACUGGAGUGGUGUGGAUUACUUGUGGAUUACUGUGAUGUUUUUAUCAGCUGUUUGGACUCUCAUUCUGACGGCACCCAUUCACUUCCAUUAGUGAGCAAAGUGAUCGAAUGCUACAUUUCUCCAAAUAUGUUCCAAAGAACAAACGAACUCAUCUACACCUUGGUUUUUUUGCAUGUUUUAUACAAACUGAGGGAUGCUUUCUGUGUUUUUUGUUUUCUUAAGGAAGGUGAAUACGUUAAAAAUAACCAAAAAAAUAAAAAUAAAAUAGCUUUAUGAGAUGUCGACGGCCUUAUGAUGGGAGGAUCGUUUGCAAUAUAUUAGAUGCCUGAUCCAAAGAGUGAAAUGAGAAGUUAUACAAUGAUGCCAAAAUGCUGUAACCUCCAAAGAUAGAUGCUAUAUAUUUCUGUAUAUCUGAAAGUGCCAAAAGAAACACGUUCAUUGGUGUAGCCAAGCUUUCGUUCGUUCUAGUCAAAGCGCCCAGACUUUGGGUUUUUCUUUGCUACUUUUUCCAUUUUAGAUGGUAGUGGCACAGGUUUGGUGACGGACGCUGGAUUCCAAAGAGAUGUUUGCUUCUUUCAUUGGGUUGGAGACGACAGAUCUCGACCGGACGGAUGUGAGAAUGACUGAGUGUGUGUUUGUAUGACGUGUGACUGGACUGUGAUCGGUGCUUUAUCACAGGAUUGAUUUGUGGAAAAUAUAAUCAGUGUUUCGAAACAACCCUUUCGAUCGAAGCGGCACGAAAUCAUGCUUUCAGAACACAAACAAGAGACCAAAGAUUGGUACGGUCGCCCCUGUGUAGACUUGACUUUUUGUUUUUUGUAAAGUUGUGUGUGUUCUGACUGCGGCCGCUCAUCUGUAAACCUUCAGAGAACCUGAUGCAAGUCUUCUUCUGAACACACCAGUGUGAGUUUACUCAGCAAAGACUUUGAAUUAGGGGUGUGGAAUGCUCAAUUAUCCUACUUCGUAUUUUUCAUUAGUGUUUUAAUUAUUCAUGUGUUUAUGUUUCGGUUGUUUGCUAAAUCCAAACACAUUUCUCUGUGAAUGUGCCAAAGAAAUAUCAAGUUGUAUAUUUCAGAGGGUCUGAAUUUUGGUGAACUUUAAUGGACGUUGCCUGUUGAUUUAUUAUAAUUUGCAUUAUUAUAUGUUGAGCAUGUUGUACCAGUUUAAUUCCGUUACGUGCCAAAAAGUGGUCAGAACAAUGCACAAUAUAAUAAAAUAUUUCCCAAAAUAUA